AUACGUAGGGGGCGAGCGUUGUCCGGAAUGAUUGGGCGUAAAGGGCGCGUAGGCGGCUUUGCAAGUCAGUAGUGGAAGUCCAUUUUUCAAGGAUGGAAGUGCUACAGAAACUGCGGAGCUUGAGUGCAGGAGAGGUUAUCGGAAUUCCCGGUGUAGCGGUGAAAUGCGUAGAGAUCGGGAGGAACACCAGUGGCGAAGGCGGGUAACUGGACUGCAACUGACGCUGAGGCGCGAAAGUGUGGGGAGCAAACAGGAUUAGAUACCCUGGUAGUCCACACUGUAAACGAUGAAUGCUAGGUGUAGGAGGUAUCGACCCCUUCUGUGCCGCAGUAAACACAUUAAGUAUUCCACCUGGGGAGUACGUUCGCAAGAAUGAAACUCAAAGGAAUUGACGGGG
rnacentral:rRNA from 1 species